rnacentral:rRNA from 1 species
GACGAACGCUGGCGGCGUGCCUAAUACAUGCAAGUAGAACGCUGAAGGAAGGAGCUUGCUCUUUCCGGAUGAGUUGCGAACGGGUGAGUAACGCGUAGGUAACCUGCCUGAUAGCGGGGGAUAACUAUUGGAAACGAUAGCUAAUACCGCAUAAUAGCAGUUAUUGCAUGAUAACUGUUGAAAGGUGCAAAUGCAUCACUACCAGAUGGACCUGCGUUGUAUUAGCUAGUUGGUGGGGUAACGGCUCACCAAGGCGACGAUACAUAGCCGACCUGAGAGGGUGAUCGGCCACACUGGGACUGAGACACGGCCCAGACUCCUACGGGAGGCAGCAGUAGGGAAUCUUCGGCAAUGGACGGAAGUCUGACCGAGCAACGCCGCGUGAGUGAAGAAGGUUUUCGGAUCGUAAAGCUCUGUUGUAAGAGAAGAACGAGUGUGAGAGUGGAAAGUUUCACACUGUGAC